rnacentral:rRNA from 1 species
UACGGGGGGAGCAAGCGUUGUUCGGAAUUACUGGGCGUAAAGGGCUCGUAGGUGGCCAACUAAGUCAGACGUGAAAUCCCUCGGCUUGACCGGGGAACUGCGUCUGAUACUGGAUGGCUUGAGUUUGGGAGAGGGAUGCGGAAUUCCAGGUGUAGCGGUGAAAUGCGUAGAUAUCUGGAGGAACACCGGUGGCGAAGGCGGCAUCCUGGACCAACACUGACACUGAGGAGCGAAAGCCAGGGGAGCAAACGGG